rfam:Candidatus Synechococcus spongiarum 15L contig113, whole genome shotgun sequence.
GGGGCUGUGGCUCAGUUGGAUAGAGCAGGGCUUUCCUAAAGCCAAGGUCGUGGGUUCAAGUCCCUCCAGCCCCG